rnacentral:rRNA from 1 species
AUGGAAGAAGGGAAAGACAAGAAUAACACCACCGAGAAGGGGCUGUUCUCAAACAUGAUGCAUGGUUAUCCACCUCAUGGAGGAUACGGAUACCCUCCUCAAGGUUACCCGCCACCGGGGGUCCCCUACCCUCCUCCCGGGGCGUAUCCUCCUCCACCACAAUAUGGGUACCCUCAGCCCGGUGGCUACCCACCUCACGGUGGAUAUCCCCCCGUCGGCUACCCUGGCUACGGGGGUGGCCACGGAGGCCAUGGCUACGGCGGCGGGCACAUGGGCUACGGAGGCGGCUACGGCGGCGGCAGCCAUGCUCUCGGGCACCACCACGGAGGCCACGGCUACGGCCAUUAUGGUCACGGAGGCCAUGGCUACGGACACCACGGUCACGGACACUACCACGGCGGGCACGGCUGGGGGCACCAUGGCCAUGGAUAUCACCACCACCACCACCACGGCAAGCACGGUUACGGCAAGUUCAAGAAGUGCAAAAAUACCCCCGCGGCUGGGAAGAGCGGUAGCAUGUCUCCUCUAGAUAUCAUGCUCGAUCAGAUCAGUGCUCAGUGCAUGCCCCUAGUACACACGUCAUGUGAAGGACGGCGCCUGGGUGCGACCGUGGUGAUCAUCCUGCGCAGUUGCACGGCGCAAGGCCGGCGUUCAUCAUGUAGUGGCAGGCUGGCAGCCGCUGGGGAGGCGAGCUCCGGCGAGCAGCUACCCCCUCCCUCCCUACCCUACUGGCUAGCUAGAUAUCAUGCUCGAUCAGAUGAGUGGUCAGUUCAUACCGCUACCACGGCGAGAGGCCAGCGUUCAUCAUGUAGCAGUGGCAGGCUGGCAGGCGCCGGGGAGGAGAGCUCCGACGAGCGGCGACUCCCUCCCUCCGUGCCGCGCCGUUCCUGGCCGUCGUGGAGGCAGCAAAAGAAACCAGAGCACAGCGUCGCACGCUCAAACGAGGCUCGUUUGUGCCCAGCCGGAGAAGCGCCCACACGCGCCACGUGCCGGCUGGUCGUCGUUUCAACGCGCAAAUAUCCCCUGAGCAAAGCAACGUGGGGUUCCUUCGCCGCGUUGCUUUCUUGCUCGCCCCCACGACGGACGACGCGCUUCGGCCGCGCCUGCCUCGAGCCGCGGGAGCCCAGGGCCCCCACCUGUCAUCCACGCGGCGUACCAAUGUCAAAUCCUAUCCAUCCACCCACGAAUAAUAACUCCAGGCCGCGGGACCCGCCCGGGAUUCGGUGCGCGGGCGAGGAGGAAGGUGCCAACGCCUGCGAUGCGAGCCGGAAGGAAGCGCGUACACGAGCCCACCGCCCCUGUAUAAAAUCCCCCAGCACACACAGCCACAGCAACCCAAUAUACACGGAGAAGAGAUCGUCAUCAUCCGCCAAACCAGAUCGGCUCGGCUGCUUCCUCUUCUUCAACUUCGCAGAAUCGCUGGUCUUCUCGUCCUCUAGGUAUGCGCGCCUCCUUAUCCAUUCCAUGCUCCUACAGUCCUGCGAAUCCGCGGCCCCUCUUGGCUCCGAGUAG